rnacentral:SRP_RNA from 1 species
CUGUGCUAGGUGGGGGGCUAGCGGUCCCCUGUCGUCCACAACCCGCUUAUGUGGAGCCGAAUGGCUCCCUGAGGGAGGGGGCGCGAGGGUCAGACCACGGGUGUGCGGUGUUGACGGCUGAGCCCUCUGCGGCGCACGCUGGUGAACCCCGUGAGACCCGGAAGGGAGCAGCGGUAAGCCGGCCUCUGCGGGUGUUAGAGGAUCCCUUGGCCCGAGCUUGCUACCCGCGAAGCGCCUCGUUCCUCCUUUCGAUGGGGCCGCGCACAG